AGUGAACGCUGGCGGCAGGCCUAACACAUGCAAGUCGAACGAGUGGCGGACGGGUGAGUUAUGUCUGGGAAACUGCCUGAUGGAGGGGGAUAACUACUGGAAAAGGUAGCUAAUACCGCAUACCAUCGGAUGUGCCCAGAUUGGAGUAUCUAGGAGGUGGGGUAAUGGCUCACCUAGGCGACGAUCCCUCGCUGGUCUGAGAGGAUGACCAGCCACAAGGGAACGGAGACAAGGUCAAGACUCCGACGGGAGGCAGCAGUGGGAAAUAUUGCACAAUGGGCGCAAGCCUGAUGCAGCCAUGCCGGGUGUGUGAAGAGGGCCUUCGGGUUGUAAAGCACUUCCAGCGAGGAGGCGUUACUCGCAGAAGAAGCACCGGCUAACUCCGUGCCAGCCGCCGCGGUAAUAC
rnacentral:rRNA from 1 species